CAGCACAUAUAUUGCUCCACUAAAAUUGGAACAAUACAGAGAUUAGCAUGUCCUGUACACAAGGACGGCAUGCCAAUUCAUGAAGAGUUCCAUAUUUUU
rnacentral:snRNA from 1 species